rnacentral:rRNA from 1 species
AGUGAACGCUGGCGGUAGGCCUAACACAUGCAAGUCGAACGGCAGCACAGUAAGAGCUUGCUCUUACGAGUGGCGAGUGGCGGACGGGUGAGGAAUACAUCGGAAUCUACUUUUUCGUGGGGGAUAACGUAGGGAAACUUACGCUAAUACCGCAUACGACCUACGGGUGAAAGCAGGGGAUCUUCGGACCUUGCGCGAUUGAAUGAGCCGAUGUCGGAUUAGCUAGUUGGCGGGGUAAGGCCCACCAAGGCGACGAUCCGUAGCUGGUCUGAGAGGAUGAUCAGCCACACUGGAACUGAGACACGGUCCAGACUCCUACGGGAGGCAGCAGUGGGGAAUAUUGGACAAUGGGCGCAAGCCUGAUCCAGCCAUACCGCGUGGGUGAAGAAGGCCUUCGGGUUGUAAAGCCCUUUUGUUGGGAAAGAAAAGCAGCAGGUUAAUACCCCGCUGUUCUGACGGUACCCAAAGAAUAAGCACCGGCUAACUUCGUG